AUUUGUGUUUUUCAAAAUGUCCAGUUUUGUUGACAAUGUCAAGGUCAUGUCUAUCUCGCCAAGUGAGAUGGAUCCAUCAAAAGGUGUAGCUGUCAACUGUGGUAAGGAGUCGAUUAACUUCACAUGGACACCAAAGGUACUACAGCCUUCCGGUUCUGUUGAAGUAUAUUUGCACUACAAAUUCCCUUUCAACAUGAGUAGUGGGAUUUUCAACACGAGCGUGUAUUUACACGGGGAAGACACACCCUUUCUUGUCCUUGCUGACUGGUUUGAUUGCGAUACCAUAAGGAAGUACAUAAGCUUCUUACAAUGUCCGUUUAUUG